CCUCGUCAUGGCCGACCCGGACGGGAACGAGUUCUGCAUCAUCCCGAAGGGCCCGUUCGACCUGGACGACGAGGGCC
rnacentral:tRNA from 1 species